ACCAGCCAUAGGAGAUUCUUUUAUAAAUUUACUGAUCAAGGUGAGGCUGAGGAGUAAACCCCAGCUUAGGAAACAGGGGUGUUCUUCAUGUGGAUGACUCUGUGCCGAAAAGCAUGGGGGACAGUA
rnacentral:snoRNA from 1 species